rnacentral:misc_RNA from 1 species
UCUUUAUGCUGGUCCUGAUUUUUCAAGCAUUUAUUGGCCAGAUCCUGAAGUAUCUAUCUUUGACUCUGGGAGAACUACUUACAAUAACAGUAGAAUAGCUCAUUUUGAUCCUUUGGGCAAUUUCAGUUCAUCAGAUAAGUUCUUUUUUAAGUCAGCAGAUUAUGGAGCGAACCUCCAAAGAAGAUUCACAAUGGAUAGCGAUGGAAAUAUUCGAUUGUACAGUCGGGAAGACAAGGGAGGCAAAUGGACUGUUUCAUGGCAGGCCAUAUCUCAACCAUGCAAGAUUCACGGCAUCUGUGGACCAAAUAGUUUAUGCAACUAUUUUCCUAGUUCUGGGAGGAAAUGUUCCUGCCUUCAGGGAUUCAAGACGAAGGAUGUAAAUGACUGGUCUUUGGGUUGUGAGCCAGAAUUCAAUCUUUCUUGUUCAACAACUGAGAUCACUUUUCUUCGACUGACUCAUGCUGAUUUUUACGGGUAUGACAAUCGUUUCUAUCGGAAUUACACCUUAGAUAUGUGUAAAAAUGCAUGCUCCAAAAGAUGUGAUUGCAAAGGGUUCCAAUUCAAGUUCAUCAAGCCUGGUUAUCCUAAUAACAAUCCUUAUUGUUUUGUGAAGAUCCUGUUGCUAAACGGGUAUCGUUCACAGAAUUUUGAAGGAGAUAUUUACUUGAAAGUGCCGAAAGCAAGUCACUUCUACUCUCAGCCUAUGGAAGAAUCCAGGACGUUAGAUUGCUCAGGUGAAAUUGCCAAGCUACUAAACAGAGUGUAUACAAAAAGCCAAGAAAACGAAACACUAAAGUAUAUGCUUUGGUUUGCUUCGAUAAUUGGAGCAAUUGAAUUCAUUGGUAUUUUCUUGGUAUGGUGUUUGUUGAUCAGAAUCCACCAGAACUCAGGUGCAGUUGAGCAAGAUUACGUUCAAGAAGCAACAGGCUUUAGAAAAUUCACCUACGCCGAGCUGGAAAAGGCAACCAGGGGUUUCAGCGAAGAAAUUGGAAGAGGAGCAGGAGGAAUUGUUUACAAAGGAGUACUAUCUGAUCAUAGAGUUGCAGCAGUAAAGAGAUUGAUUAAUGAAGCUAACCAAGGCGAAACACAAUUCCGAGCGGAAGUUAGUGUGAUUGGGAAACUUAAUCACAUGAACCUGAUAGAGAUGUGGGGAUACUGUGCAGAGAGAAAUCACAGGCUUUUGGUUUGCAAGUACAUAGAGCACAGAUCCUUGGCAGAAAACCUCUCAUCUAAUUCACUUGAUUGGGAAAAAAGGUUUAAUAUUGCCUUGGGUACAGCCAAGGGCCUUUGCUAUUUACAUGAGGAGUGCUUAGAGUGGGUUCUACACUGUGAUGUAAAGCCUCAAAACAUUCUGCUUGACUGUGAUUACCAGCCAAAGGUGUCAGACUUUGGCCUGUCUCAUCCACUGAAAAGAGAUAGCCAUGGAAUUUCAAGGCUUUCAAGGAUAAGAGGAACUAG